rnacentral:lncRNA from 1 species
UCAGGUUAAAGAAGGAUUUUUAAGAUUUGAGACAUAGUCUGCGGUCCAAACACUUAAAAGACACACCCUCGUCCAUUUAUGCCCGUGGGGGGAAAUCCCCGUCGCCAUCUUGGCGGGUGGUCCAAAUGGUUAGCCAAGCAAGGGAAGAUUCUAACGUAAGCCCCUCAGACCUCGUUUUCAGUCAGCUUUGCCAGUGUACAAUUAUGUUCACUCCGGGUCCUGAAACUCCCCAUAAUUCAAUUCGUGACGAUUGUACAUCCGCUAAGAAAAGUCCGCGAAAACGUAAAAACAACAUCAAUGGAGUAGUCAACAUACAAGUGUGUGGCCACCCAGGGAAAGGUGCAGGUGAGAGGGAAGCGGUGGCAGACUGAAAAAAAACAAAUCUCUGGAGAGACCUGAAAAUAGCUGUGCAGCAACGCUCCCCAUCCAACCUGACAGAGCUUGAGAGGAUCUGCAGAGAAGAAUGGGAGAAACUCCCCAACACAGUGAUAAAGACUGACGUCAAAGAGACCACAUUGAAGUCCUCCAUCCCCCACUUAGUCUGACUGCUGUUCUCUCUGGCUCCACUACAAACCCCCGCCCGGCUAUCUAGAGGUGUGAAUACCCAGCCAGCCUACAAGUAGAGGAUGGAAGUGCUUUACAGCAGAAAGAGACUUGGGACCCGGGACCAGCAGCACAAUCUUGUGUAGAGGGUGUUCUAAAUACUGUAAUUGUAAAUAGUGUGUACAUAUAUUUUUUUUUACUUUGUGUGUAUGUGGUUUGUGGUGUGUUCACUUAUGACAUUAGAUCAGCGUUGGCUGCUAACUUGGCCCUUAUCUUAAAUAUUUCACUUCUGUGUUUGGAGACAUUGGAUCAGCAUUCUCGUCACGUCUCCUGUUAGUACAAUUUAUGUAGGGAAGCUAAUGAUCCAUAAUGUAUGACAUUCCUGGGAGUGUGUAAACUUGUAUUUUUUAUUAGCGUAGCAUUUUUGUAUGUUUUAUAAAGUUAUGUUCUUGAAAAUUUAACAAUUUAACAAUUCGGUCACUUGGAGGCCACUUGGGUACUUUUGGGCAAAUCGUGAAGGACACCUGGGUGACUUCAUAGUCAUGUAGAUUACUCAUUCUUGAAGUUAUCAGUCUUUGCACAUAUACUGUUGCCCUCUUGUGGACACCAUCUAAAUUACCUCCAGCUUCCUAGCUGAAUGUGUGGCUUUUCUCUUGCAUUUCAAAGAUGGUACAACAUUUUAAAAAGAAAACCGUUUUUUUCUUUGUAUUUUCUUUUACCAGAUCUAAUGUGUUAUAUUCUUCUACAUUCAUUUCACAUUUCCACAUAUUUUCAAAGUGUUUCCUUUUAAAUGGUAUCAAGAAUAUGCAUAUCCUUGCUUCAAUGCCUGAGCUACAGGCAGUUAGAUUUAGGUAUGUCAUUUUAGGCUAAAUUUUGAAAAAAAGGUGCAGAUCCUUAAUUAAGUCUCCUCAGGUUCCCGUGCUAUUGGGAUUCUCCUGGCUCCAGCGACACAAUCCCCUCAUUGACUGGUCUGCUGGUGCCAUCAUGGGCUGGAGCCCGUUCUGCCACGCCCAUUGCCUGAAGUCAGCGCAGCCUGCCCUGGGAUGUCUCCCUGGGGGCUCGGAAGUUGCCCCGGACCUCUCCGCCUUUCCCGCAGAGUACCUGGAUCUCCGGGAGGUGUUCAGUAAGGCCCGGGCCACUUCGCUUCUGCACAGGGUUCUCUUUGUGAAGAAGGACAAAACCCUGCCCCCGUUCAUCAACUGCCGGGGUCUCAAUGACAUCAUGGUGAAGAACCGCUACCCGCUACCCCUCAUCUUCUCGGCCUUCGAGCCUCUCCAGGGGGCCACCAUGUUCUCCAAGCUGGACCUACGGAAUGCCUACCACCUGGUGCGGAUACGGGAAGGGGACGAGUGGAAGUCUGCCUUCAACAUGGCCAGCGGUCACUACGAGUAUCUGGUCAUGCCAUUUGGCCUUACCAACACCCCUGCUGUGUUCCAGGCUCUGGUUAAUGAUGCUCUCCGUGACAUGUUGAACCGGUUCGUCUUUGUCUACCUCGAUGACAUCCUUGUCUUCUCCCGCUCCACCCAAAAACACGUGCUCCACGUCCGACAUGUUCUCCAAUGCCUCCUGGAGAACCAGCUUUUUGUAAAAGCAGAUAAGUGUGAAUUCCAUCGCUUCACCAUCCCCUUUCUGGGUUACAUCAUCGCCGCAGGGAGUGUACAGAUGGAUCCCGGAAAGGUGAGAGCUGUGGUGGAUUGGCCCCAGCCUACGUCCAGGGUGCAACUGCAACAUUUCCUGGGAUUCAGCAACUGUUAUCGCUGCUUUAUCGGGGGUUACAGCACCCUGGCUCCCCCUCUGUCUGCACACCUCUCCCAAGGUUCUGUUCACAUGGUCCCCAGCUUCUGACCGGGCGUUCUGGGAUCUAAAACACCGCUUCACCACAGCUCCCAUCUUGGUUCAUCCUGACCCGUCCCACCAGUUUGUGGUGGAGGCUGAUGCUUCGGAUGUCGGAGUGGGGGCUGCCCUGUCCCAGCGUUCUGCCCUGGACCUCAAGUUACAUCCCUGCUUCGCCUUCUGCCACCGCCUCAAUGCCACAGAGAGGGACUACGAUGUGGGAAAUCGCGAGCUUUUUGCAGUGAAGAUGGCGUUGGAGUGGAGGCACUGGCUGGAGUGGGCAGAACAUCUGUUCAUUGUGUGGACUGACCACAAGAACCUGGAAUAUCUCCGCACCGCCAAGCGCCUCAAUUCCAGGCAAGCUAGGUGGGCCCUGCUGUUCACCCAGUUCAACUUCUCCCUCUCAUACUGGCCGGAAUCCAAGAAUGUCAAGCCGGAUGAGCUGUCACGCCGCUAUAGCCCCACGGCUUCAAACCCGAAAACCGAGACCAUCCUUCCCACCUCAUGCCUGAUGACUGCACUCAGCUGGGGAAUAGGGGAGAAGGUUCAUGAGGCGCAGUUUUCCCAGCCGAACCCCAGGGAGGCCCAGAUAACCAGAUGUUCGUUCCUGACGCGGUCCGCUCCUUGGUCCUGGAGUGGGCCCACUUCUCCAGGCUUGCCUGCCACCCGGGCUCCCGGCAGACCCUGGCCUUUGUGUGACAACACUUUUGGUGGCCUACCAUGGUUCCUGAUGUCUCCCUGUUCGUCACCGCAUGCACGAUUUGUGUACAGAACAAGACUCCUCGGCAAGCUCCGGCUGGUCUCUUUCAACCUCUUCCUGUCCCUCACCGUCCCUGGUCUCACAUAUCCCUGGACUUUGUCACGGGUCUCCCCCCGUCUGAUGGCAACACCAAAGCCGCCCACUUCAUUCCUCUCCCCAAACUACCCUCUGCCAAAGAGACGGCCCAGCUCAUGGUGCAGCACGUCUUCCGGAUCCAUGGACUGCCAAUGGACAGGGUCUCCGACCGGGGUCCUCAGUUCUCGUCCCAGUUCUGGAGUGCGUUCUGCACACUCAUUGGGUCAUCAGCCAUCCUGUCCUCCGGGUUCCACCCCAGUCCAAUGGCCAGUCGGAGCAAGCCAACCAAGACCUGGAGACGACUCUGCGCUGCCUGGUCUCCGCCAACCCCACCACCUGGACCUGGAGCCAGAAACUAGUGUGGGUCGAAUACGCCUGCAACACCCUUCCUUGCUCUGCCACGGGUCUCUCGUCCUUUGAGUGUUCCCUGGGGUAUCGGACCCCACUCUUCCCUGAGCUUGAGGAAGAGGUCGGCAUACCUUCGGCCCAGAUGUUUGUCCGCCGCUGUCAUCGUACCUGGAAGAGAGUCCGGUUGGCCCUUCUCAAGACCACCUCCAGGUAUCGACGACAAGCGGAUCGCCACUAUCCCCGGAUGCCCGGUAUUGUCUCGGGCAGAAUGUAUGGCUGUCCUCCCGGGAUCUGCCCCUCCGAGUGGAAUCCCGCAAACACUCCCCCCGGUUUAUCGGCCUUUUCCCCAUCUCAAAGGUCAUUAGCCCCUCUGCUGUUCGUCUUCUGUUGCCCCGUACCCUCCGUAUUCAUCCCACUUUCCUGGCCCACGCCUCUCCCUGUAUCAUCAACGGCCAACAGGCCUAUACUGUAAGGCGUCUCCUGAUGGUUUGACCUUGUGGCAGGGGGUUCCAGUACCUGGUUGACUGGGAGGGUUAUGGCCCAGAGGAGAGGUGCUGGGUCCCCGCUAGGGGUGCCAGGUCCCAGGUGUCACCAAUCUUCCCCAAUAUCACCAGUGUAUUUAUACCUGUGUUCUCUGUUUUGUCUGUUGUCAGUUGGUUUUGUUUCGUGAAAACUACCUGCAUUUCCCCCCUUGCUCCUGUCUGUUCUGUUUCCUAGUUUGACCAUUCUGCCUACCCUGAGCCUGCCUGCCAUUCUGUACCUUGCAACACCACACUGGAUUAUUGACACCUGCCUGCUCUGACCCUGAGACUGCCUGCCGUUCUGGACCUUUUGCACCCUGGAUUAGUGACCUCUGCCUGCCCUUGACCUGUUGUUUUGUCUGCCCCUGUACUAGCAAUAAAC